rnacentral:rRNA from 1 species
UGGGGAAUAUUGCACAAUGGAGGGAACUCUGAUGCAGCGACGCCGCGUGAACGAAGAAGGCUUUCGAGUCGUAAAGUUCUUUUAUAUGGGAAGAUAAUGACGGUACCAUAAGAAAAAGCCCCGGGUAACUACGUGCCAGCAGCCGCGGUAAUACGGAGGGGGCUAGCGUUGUCCGGAAUCACUGGGCGUAAAGGGUUCGCAGGCGGAAAUGCAAGUCAGGUGUAAAAGGCAGUAGCUUAACUACUGUAAGCAUUUGAAACUGCAUAUCUUGAGAAGAGUAGAGGUAAGUGGAAUUUUUAGUGUAGCGGUGAAAUGCGUAGAUAUUAAAAAGAAUACCGGUGGCGAAGGCGACUUACUGGGCUCAUUCUGACGCUGAGGAACGAAAGCGUGGGUAGCAAACAGG